AUGCUGGGGCGGGGGCGGGCGGCGCUUGGAGGCCCAGCGCGGGGCAGGCGCUCGCUCGGUGUCUCGGGGCGGCGGCGACCGUUGGGCUCGGGCCGGCUCCGGAGGCUCCUGCCCGGCGGGGAUGGCGGACGCGGCGGCCUCCCCCGUGGGGAAGCGGCUCCUGCUGCUGCUGGCGGCGGGGCCGGGCGAGAGCGAGGCGGUGGGGCCGGAGCCGGGGCCUGCGCUGCCCUCCCGGGCCUGGCGGAGCGGCACGGUGCGGGCCAUGAGCGGAGCCGUGCCCCAGGACCUGGCGAUGAUGGUCCGUUCCUAAAUGCUUUGGAUGAAGGAGAGGUUGGCCAGUAUUUUAAUCAAACAACAGCUUCAAGAAAUCUGUUUUGUAUUUUUACUUCUUAAGGUACAAGGCCUUCAUUUUUUUUCUGUAGUAAAAGUAACUAUAUUCUGCAUGUGAUAUGUAUAUACAUAUCCCUUUGGAGUGUUAUGAGUACUCAGUACCUGUUUUAUUUUGGCUGAUCUUCUUCCUUGCUUCAGUGAAUUCCUUGAUUAUUAAUUAGACUGACCAUUCCUUUUUUUUCUUCAAGGUCUAUAUCACAAUCGUUCACGUUUCUAGAAUUUAUUUCCAAGUGCAUACUUUGAUUGCUUCAUGCUGCUACUAGGUACUUGAGUUUUUUACAGACCUCUCAUGUCUUUAACCUGCUUCCAAGCUGAUGGUUUCAAAAAUACUUCUAUGUAACCACAUCAUGUUCUGGUAGAAAUACUUGAAGAAAUUUCUUUCCAAGAAGACUUAGCCAGUGUAAUGUAAGUUUGUAUCAUCAGUGUGAUUAUCUUGCUUGAAAUAGCUUCAUUGGUUGUUGAAUAUUUUUUUAACAUAGUCAUAAAAUACAUUUGCUAAUACAGUAAAUUCUCUUGAUAGUAUUACAGAGUAUUCUCUUAAGUAGUCCUAAUGCUUCCAGUUUCAACUGCUGAUUAAGAAACCAAAGCAAAACUCAGUUUUACCUCUGCAUAGUUACUGUCUCGAGGUCAUUGUGCAUGUGACUCCAGUCACUUGCAUAAUUUGUUUUAUGCUUUUGCUGUCAAGCUGUCAGUCUCUGCAUCUAAUAGAUUGUGCUACCUCUUUCUGAUUAGGUGCUCUACUUAAGGCAUUGAACUAUUAAAUCAGUGGCAGAAUUAUUGACAUUUUUCUGUAGUUUGUACAUGUUUUAUUUUGAAAUUUUUCUUAUUGCAAAUUUAUGUGUAGUUGGAAGAAUUCUUGCUACUUCCCUCUUGUUGUCAUUAAUUAACUGGUCAUGCUUUUCUGAGGUAGCGCUGCUUGAUGGUGACUGCCUCCUCAUCAGUACUUACUGCUAAGAGUCCUUUUCUAGCAUCUCGCCUACACUGGAUUAUAAUACUUUACAAAACACAAGGAAAGGUGUGUGGGGGGAGUUCCUCGUAUAGUCAUUUUUUUUCUUUGCCAUUUCUAGAUGUUUGACAGACCUUUGGCUGUCUUUGUGAAUUCUCUCUGAAAAGCCAUGCUUUUGUUGAUGUCUGUCUUGUUCGUUUUGACUUUCAUCGCUGUAUUCAGAGAUGUUUCAUUUGUUACAGUUGCUUAGUAUGCUAAAUGAGAUUGAGGUGCAUGAUUCUGGAGAGAGACUGACAGUUUCUUAGAAAUGUUCCUAAAGAACACAAUCAAUUUCUGCUUCAGAAGAAUAGUUUUUCGCUUGCUCACUCUUCCCCUCCCCCCUUUUUGAUUGCUGAGACCAUGGCAAGACCAAGACUGAGACAAAGACUUUUCUUUGAGGUUGGGAUUCUUUUCAUUAUAGUCAUGUGGAUUAUCAUAUAAUAACCUAAAACAAAUAUCUGGAGUUUUUUUAUUAAUCAUUCUUCAAUUUAAACCCUCAAAUGCAGUGGAAAUGAGUUUACUACUACUCUAUCCCUAAUGUUUUUUCAAGGAUGAGGCCGAACUUGGAAAGCAGAGGAAAAGAGUGAGACAAUCCAGAAAUAGCAAUUGAAAUAGCAGAUUUUGCAGAGCUUGUGAUUUUUUUUUUAAGAACUUUUAACAGCUCCUCAGGCUCUUCUCUGGUCUUCAUAAGGUACUGUUAGACUUGAGGCCAAAAAUGUGUCUAAAUAAAUUUGCUACCUUUUGCGCCA
rnacentral:lncRNA from 1 species